GCAUUGGUGCGUCAGUGGUAGAAUUCUCGCCUUCCAUGCGGGAGACGUGGGUUUGAUUCCUGGCUAAUGUA
rnacentral:tRNA from 1 species